rnacentral:rRNA from 1 species
UACGGGGGGGGCAAGCGUUGUUCGGAAUUGCUGGGCGUAAAGGGCUUGUAGGCGGCCAACUAAGUCAGACGUGAAAUCCCUCGGCUUAACCGGGGAACUGCGUCUGAUACUGGAUGGCUUGAGAUUGGGAGAGGGAUGCGGAAUUCCAGGUGUAGCGGUGAAAUGCGCAGAUAUCAGGAGGAACACCGGUGGCGAAGGCGGGUCUCUGGGCCGAUACUGACGCUGAGGAGCGAAAGCGUGGGGAGCGAACAGG